rnacentral:rRNA from 1 species
AGGGUUCGAUCAUGGCUCAGGACGAACGCUGGCGGUGCGCCUUAUGCAUGCAAGUCGAGCGAAGCUUUUCAGUAGUUUACUACAGAAAAUGACUGAGCGGCGAACGGGUGAGUAACGCGUGAGCAAUCUACCUUAGUUACAGGGAUAGCCCGAGGAAACUCGGAUUAAUACCUGAUAUUCUUUAUUUCUCGCAUGAGAAUAAAAGGAAAGGUCAGCCGAACUAAGAUGAGCUCGCGUUCUAUCAGCUAGUUGGUGAGGUAAAAGCUUACCAAGGCUACGACGGAUAGCUGGUCUGAGAGGACGAUCAGCCACACUGGGACUGAGACACGGCCCAGACUCCUACGGGAGGCUGCAGCAGGGAAUAUUGUGCAAUGAACGAAAGUUUGACACAGCGACACCGCGUGUGGGAUGACGGAUCUAGGUUUGUAAACCACUUUCAGGAGGGAAGAGAAUGACGGUACCUCCACAAGAAGCCCCGGCCAACUACGUGCCAGCAGCCGCGGUAAUAC